UACGUAGGUGGCAAGCGUUAUCCGGAAUUAUCGGGCGUAAAGAGCGCGCAGGUGGUUAAUUAAGUCUGAUGUGAAAGCCCACGGCUUAACCGUGGAGGGUCAUUGGAAACUGGUUGACUUGAGUGCAGAAGAGGGAAGUGGAAUUCCAUGUGUAGCGGUGAAAUGCGUAGAGAUAUGGAGGAACACCAGUGGCGAAGGCGGCUUCCUGGUCUGCAACUGACGCUGAGGCUCGAAAGCGUGGGGAGCAAACAGG
rnacentral:rRNA from 1 species